UUAUGGGUAAACAGCCUUUAUCCAUAUUUGAGUGAAAAUUUGAGGACUUCGCCAUUUUUUAUUGUCUUCGUGGAGAAUACAUCAGCUUAUAGUGUAUAUUAUUUUGUUCAUUAACUGAUUUCUGGUCAUGAUUAAUUUAAAUCGAAUAAAAAACAUAUUAGAAAAGGCACAACAAGAAAUCUCCUCCAAGAAACUCUUCUCUCGCCCUAUUUUAAUAACCGGGGAGCACAUAAUUCGGCCAAAUACAAAUCAAACACUGAAUAGGAUGUUGCAGAAGGAAGUACAAAGGCCGUUGAAGAUCAAUUCUAUGGAUAUUCCACUACCGAUCCAAGCUACCAGGACGACAUUCUUAGAAUAGUGUUGCUUCUUCAUUAUUAUGGUUGUAAAAAAUAAAUACUUUGAGUUCUAAUCAUCGCAAAUUUUCAAUUUAUUUGA